rnacentral:lncRNA from 1 species
UUGAUCUCUUCUUUUCGAUCGAAUUCAGCAUCAGUCAACUUGGGACUUUGAGGGUGCUAUUUUCUUUUGUUUUCUUUUGAUUUUGCUUUUGAUUUCUUUUGAUUUCUUUUGAUUUUGCACCCUCCUCUUUCUUUUUUCUUUUUUUUUUCUCUUUUUUUCUUCUUUUUUUUUUGAUGCCCCAGUUGGCUGUUCUGCUGAUUCUCGAGAUGCAGCUGAGUGAUCUUCUUUUCUUGCUCAAGAAGUCGGGAAAUCUCGUCAGGAAUCCCUUCAACAUCGUCUUCGUCCGCUUCGAAUACAGGGAAUUCAAAAUUGGGAGAUGACGUCCGAUCAUUAUGUUCAAUGGGUUUGAGAAACAACCUGCAUAAAGAUUUAGAGAUGAAAAGCUUUUUGAAAAACAAACAAGACAAUCGUUAUGCAGAUGAAAAGAUUGCUUUUAUUCUUGUUUUUAAAGGUUUUUUGUGAUCACCAAUUUCA